AUGUCACGUGAGACACAUCCUGCUGCUCCAUCGCACGUGCCUCAACUCCUGCUGGAUGCUUUCCCACACUCUCCACCACGAACCCACGACCCAGGGAGGCGUCAACACUUGGGAAAGGGAGACAGAGUUAGGAGUUGCCGAGAGACUAAAGAAAGUAUAGGAAAUGUGUACGUUCUUCUACAGUAUCACACUGCUUGCUUAAGGGAAGUGGGACAACUAAGAAAGGGACAUCUGCAGAUUGAUGAGCAGCUGCGGCAGAUUGGUUCUAGGUCUUACAGUGGAAGAGGCAGAGGUCGUCAGUGCCCUAACUUCACCUCCAGUUAUGGUACAAAUUCUGAGCUAUCUAACCCCUCCGAAACAGAAUCUGAGCAUAAAGACGAGCUGAGUGAUUGGUCAUUGGCAGGAGAAGAUGAUCGAGAGACUCGACAUCAGUGAGACAGCAGGAGAUGCUGAAGCAGGAGGAAGAGGCAGAAGUGUUUCUGGGGGAUGAGGUUGUGGUGGACCACGUGGUGGCAAAUCCUCCAUCAGUUCUGUGCUCAAAGAUCCUGGCAGCAAUCCAUACAGCUUACUUGAUAAUACAGAAUCAGAUCAGACUGCAGACACUGACGCCAGCGAAUCUCACCACAAGUACUAACCAUCGUAGACUGUCUCGUAGACGAAGGACUGAUGAAGAUGCAGUUCUGAUGGAUGGAAUGACUGAAUCUGAUGCAGCCUCAGUUAAUGAAAAUGGGACAGGCAAAAGAUGUGAUUGAAGAGCAUGGUCCUUCAGAAAAGGCAAUAAAUGGUCCAACUAGCGCUCCUGGCGAUGAAAUUCCUAAGCUACCGAGUACUCCGGGAGAAGAAAAGACUAAGACCUUAAAAGAAGACAGCACUCAAGAAGCAGCAGUCCUGAAUGGUGUUUCAUAACUGAAGGAAGUUUCUAGUUUACAGUUCUUUUACAUUACAGUUACAAUAGUGCUUGUACAAGCUUGCCAAAGAUAGAAUACGGAUCGCCAGUCUUACAUCGCACUUUCAGUUCCUCCA